CUCCGACAGCAACCGCUGCUUUUAACCAUUCUCUCGUUCUUUUUAGUUACAAAACAACAACUCUCUCCCUCUUUCCCUCUACGCAAGGCCACGAAAUCAAUUACUUGUUGGGGUUGAGUCGGGUCGGGUAAACGGGCAUCCAAAUUUUUAGGGUCCCGCCACGGUCCCAGCCAGUAAGUUUGUGAUCGAGACAAAGGUGAGCUUAGGAAAUAAUGGCGAGCUCAGGUAUGAGCAGGCCUGGGUUACUGGGUAAGAGAGAUCUCCCAGAGGGCUUUCAUCGACCUAGUCCUCUACUCCAACUUCCUUCUCUUGCAACCUCUGGAGAUCUCUCUCGUUAUGAUUUUGAAGGUUUGAAACCCAACUAUGAAGCUGUAGGAUCUGAUUGACGUGUGCAUUGAAUUGCAAAUAGAAAGAUGAUAAAUUUGGAUCUUGAUUGCUUGGAAUUGAUAGGUAGGGAAGUAACUUCCAGCAGCUGUUGAUAGAGCUUAUAGUGUCUCUUAGGAAUUCAAUUAGAAAAGAUGGAAAAGUUUUGCAUCGUUUUGCUUGAAUUUGAAACAGUACACUGAUGACUUCAGGUAAAAUACUUUUUUUGGUUGCAUUAUUUAGCUCAAGGUCUAAGUAUAUUGUUAGGGAACUGAAGGUUUGAUGAUGUUGCGGCUCUGUGGUGUGUAUUUCCUCCAUGCUCCACUGUGGAUAUUGUUUUAUCAGAUUUGCUUGGAGAAUGAUCAGAGCAAGAUGGAGGCAGCAGACUACUCUUAAACGAGCCAUUAGCUAAUAUUGUUAGGGACUGGCUGAACCCAGACCAUUGCCCUCAGCAGCUGUAGAACUGUCAGGCGAUGCUAUGCUAUGCUCUUCAUCAUUAUCAUCCACGGUUAGCUUUUGGAGACUCUCUUUUUGGAGUUAUAGAGUCUGUGUUAAAGUGUUUUCCAGAUUCACGAUAGAGCAAAAGUGCUCAAAGUACUAUACUUUUUUUGUACAUCUUGAGACACUGUGGUUAAAAUUUACAAGUAUGAUGAAACUUCUUCUUGUGAUCCA